rnacentral:lncRNA from 1 species
CAGGAUGUCCUGCUCUGAUUGGCAGGGAGAGUUUGAAGGUGGGUUGGCAGAGACUGUGACCGCAACUGACUGCGUUCUGCAGAAUUAUGGUAAUGAAAUUGGAAGCCAACUUUCGUGAAGCAGAAAGCCUCAAGUUUCCAGGUGCUGUGCUCAGUCCAGGAAUACAAUGAUGAAUAAGAUCAAGGCCCUUAUUUCAGAGCUGACACACACUAUACAUAAUGCAUCAAAAAUUGUGUUCUCGCUAUAUUUCUGUUUAUUUGGUUUUAUCUGCAAGAAUAUAGAUAGCAUCUGCUUUGAUAUAAAACUUUUAUGUGUCUUAUGUAGUUGAUUUGUAAAUGUCCUAUCUAUAAAUAUAAAACAAUAAAUUACUAGUUACAGUUAGCUUAGGAAAACUUUUAAUCAUGUCCUACAUUUUACAAUUUGUAAUUUCUACCAAAUGUUUGUAUUUUUAUGUCUUAUUAAAUAUAAUAAAUAUUUGUCUUAACAUA